rnacentral:rRNA from 1 species
AUACGUAGGGGGCGAAGCGUUGUCCGGAUUUACUGGGUGUAAAGGGCGCGCAGGCGGGAUAAAUAGUCAGUGGUGAAAUCCUACAGCUUAACUGUAGAACUGCCUUUGAUACUUUUAUUCUUGAGUUCGGGAGAGAGAGACGGAAUUCCAGGUGUAGUGGUGAAAUACGUAGAUAUCUGGAAGAACACCAGUUGCGAAGGCGGUCUCUUGGUCCGAUACUGACGCUGAGGCGCGAAAGCGU